AUUGAACGCUGGCGGCAGGCCUAACACAUGCAAGUCGAACGGUAACAGAAAGCAGCUUGCUGCUUUGCUGACGAGUGGCGGACGGGUGAGUAAUGUCUGGGAAACUGCCUGAUGGAGGGGGAUAACUACUGGAAACGGUAGCUAAUACCGCAUAACGUCGCAAGACCAAAGAGGGGGACCUUCAGGCCUCUUGCCAUCGGAUGUGCCCAGAUGGGAUUAGCUAGUAGGUGGGGUAACGGCUCACCUAGGCGACGAUCCCUAGCUGGUCUGAGAGGAUGACCAGCCACACUGGAACUGAGACACGGUCCAGACUCCUACGGGAGGCAGCAGUGGGGAAUAUUGCACAAUGGGCGCAAGCCUGAUGCAGCCAUGCCGCGUGUAUGAAGAAGGCCUUCGGGUUGUAAAGUACUUUCAGCGGGGAGGAAGGGAGUAAAGUUAAUACCUUUGCUCAUUGACGUUACCCGCAGAAGAAGCACCGGCUAACUCCGUG
rnacentral:rRNA from 1 species